rnacentral:rRNA from 1 species
GACGAACGCUGGCGGCGUGCUUAACACAUGCAAGUCGAACGGAAAGGCCUCUUUCGGGGGGUACUCGAGUGGCGAACGGGUGAGUAACACGUGAGUAACCUGCCCUUGACCUUGGGAUAACUUCAGGAAACUGGGGCUAAUACCAGAAAGGAGCUCCUGCUGCAUGGUGGGGGUUGGAAAGUUUCGGCGGUUGGGGAUGGACUCGCGGCUUAUCAGCUUGUUGGUGGGGUAGUGGCUUACCAAGGCUUUGACGGGUAGCCGGCCUGAGAGGGUGACCGGCCACCUUGGGACUGGGAUACGGUCCAUCCUCCCACAGGGGGCAGCAGAUGGGGAGUUUGCACAAGGGGCGGAAUCGAGAUGCAGCAAAAGCGGAAGCGGGAUGAAGGAAUACGAGUUGUAAACAGUUCUCGCUCAUGAGGGUUCUUUGUGUGACGGUAGUGAGUAAAGAAGACCCGGCUAACUUCGUU